UGAGGAACAUGACCUUCGGCGGGGGAUAGCCGGCCCAACGGCCGGGUAAUACCGCGUACGACCACUCGGGGACAUCCCUAGGUGGUGAAAGCAGCAAUGCGCCGAUGGAGUGCCUCGCGGCCUAUCAGCUAGUUGGUGAGGUAACGGCUCACCAAGGCGACGACGGGUAGCUGGUCUGAGAGGAUGGCCAGCCACAUUGGGACUGAGACACGGCCCAGACUCCUACGGGAGCAG
rnacentral:rRNA from 1 species